GUGACUUUGUUCAAGAAAUCUACAAAUGUUCUUGAAAAAAAAGUUCUUUGGAAUCACCUUGAAUUUGUCUCAUUCCUUUGCAAAACUGCAUAUUUCUCAAAUCUUUAAGAAGAAUUGCAGCCAUAAUUGAGCCAUUAAAGUUGAGAGGACGAUAGAUGGAAUGGCAAUAUUUAUUGGUUAUUCUGUGAUGUUUAAAAAAGUACACUUUUUCUAACAAAGUACUCUGGCAUUACCUUAGAGAUAUUAAGCAGACUAUCAAGUGAAAGCUAUCCUUAAUUUUUAAAAGUUUUCAUAUUACCAUUUACCUUGACAGAAUGUGAUAAUGGGGCAGGAAUUUACACAAGAAAAAAAAAUACUAUUACAACACAUCCUGCAAGAAAACAGUAACUUACAAUGUUCCUUCUUUGGCAGAGACAUGGACAAGUGGCUUCAGAGUUGCUUGGAAGAUUGAGAUCUACUACCAAAUUUCUGCAUGUCCUAUUUACUAACAGAGUUUCCUCCUCCUCCUCCUCCUCAUGUAUUAUAUCUUUCCUUGGGAUUUAAUUGAAGUGUGGGAAAACAGGAAAGCUGUAGAUCACAGGAAAGAAGAUUG